rnacentral:rRNA from 1 species
GUGGGGAAUAUUGGGCAAUGGGCGAAAGCCUGACCCAGCAACGCCGCGUGAAGGAAGAAGGUCUUCGGAUCGUAAACUUCUAUCCUUGGUGAAGAUAAUGACGGUAGCCGAGAAGGAAGCCCCGGCUAACUACGUGCCAGCAGCCGCGGUAAUACGUAGGGGGCAAGCGUUGUCCGGAAUGAUUGGGCGGCAAGGGCGCGUAGGCGGCCUGGUCAGGCUGGAGUGAGAGUCCUGCUUUUAAGGUGGGAAUUGCUUUGGAUACUGUCGGGCUUGAGUGCAGGAGAGGUAAGUGGAAUUCCCGGUGUAGCGGUGAAAUGCGUAGAGAUCGGGAGGAACACCAGUGGCGAAGGCGACUUACUGGACUGUAACUGACGCUGAGGCGCGAAAGUGUGGGGAGCAAACAGGAUUAGAAACCCGAGUAGUCC